UACGGGGGGGGCAAGCGUUGUUCGGAAUUACUGGGCGUAAAGGGCUCGUAGGUGGCCAACUAAGUCGGACGUGAAAUCCCUCGGCUUAACCGGGGAACUGCGUCUGAUACUGGAUGGCUUGAGUUCGGGAGAGGGAUGCGGAAUUCCAGGUGUAGCGGUGAAAUGCGUAGAUAUCUGGAGGAACACCGGUGGCGAAGGCGGCAUCCUGGACCGACACUGACGCUGAGGCGCGAAAGCGUGGGUAGCAAACAGG
rnacentral:rRNA from 1 species